rnacentral:rRNA from 1 species
AUUGAACGCUGGCGGCAGGCUUAACACAUGCAAGUCGAACGAGUGGCGGACGGGUGAGUAAUGUCUGGGAAACUGCCUGAUGGAGGGGGAUAACUACUGGAAACGGUAGCUAAUACCGCAUACCAUCAGAUGUGCCCAGAUGGGAUUAGCUUGUUGGUGGGGUAACGGCUCACCAAGGCGACGAUCCCUAGCUGGUCUGAGCGGAUGACCCGCCACACCUGGACCUAGGCACGGUCCAGACUCCUACGGGAGGCAGCAGUGGGGAAUAUUGCACCAUGGGCGCAAGCCUGAUACAGCCAGUCCGCGUGUAUGAAGAAGGCCUUCGGGUUGUAAAGUACUUUCAGCGGGGAGGCGUUACCCGCAGGAGAAGCACCGGCUAACUCCGUGCCAGGCGCCGCGGUAAUUC